CAACAAAGGAAAACCAUCUCAAAUGAUAUUUUUUAUUCCUAGAAUUAGUAUUCUGAAGAAAACUUCUAACGGAAACAUAAAAUACAACAUCUUUUUUAUUUUUGAUUUAUAACACACUUUCAGAUGCAAAAUAAAAAAUACAAUGGUAAUAUAAAAAAUAUCGACAUUACUAUACAAAAUUAAAAAGUAAAAAACGACAUAAAAAAUCUCCUUAAGCAACUUCUGAAUAAAGUGGCCAUGGAGCAUCUGUCGUGCUCAAACUCCAGUAAGUAGAUCCACAUCUGUAUGAGAAAAUAUUAACCAACACUAUGUGAGACAAUAACAUUCCCUACUAGACACAUGAAAGAUAUGAUUGAGGCUAUUUUUGCAAGAUGGCUUAUUUGGCCAAAAGGUGGCUAGAAGUGCAAAAUUUGGCUUAGACCCUGCAAAGCCAAGAACCUAAAGACCGGACCCUAUGUGGCUUGCCUACGUAUCACGUCCCGAAAGACGAGAUUUAGGUUGUGUAGUUCGGGCAUAUUGAAUGCGGGCGAGAAUUAAAAAACAGCUAAUUUAUAGAAAACACAUUUUUGGGUCUUUUUUUCUAAAAGUGAUGAAAAAGGUAAAAUCUUUUUGGACUUUCUUUUCUCUCUUUUUUUUUUAAUUUUUUGAUUUUUCGGAAAAUCAUAAAAAGGUGAAAAAUCUUUUUUUUUUGAAUUUUUUAUUUUUUGUCUUUUUCUUGAUAAAAUGUGACAUAAAACAUACUUGCUUUAUUUUCCACACUUCGUCCUCUCUUUUUUUUACUUUUUUUUCUUUUUCAUUGGCCCUCAACUAUCAUUAAUCCGUCAAAUGACCAUUUUACCCUUGAAGAAAUGCAACAUGUAGCACAUGUCCUAGACGGAUCCAACCUCUGUGUUGAGUCCCCAAAGUCAAAUGCACGUGAUGAAACAAACGUUACUACUAGGGAUCUGGCAUGAGGCUAUGUUAUUCUAGGUCGAAAAACCUGAGUUUAUUUGUUUUAGACCUGACUUACUCGAGCCGAGAGGGGGCAGCGUACCGGAAAAAUAGAAGUUUCACCGGCUUUAUAACUUGUCUGAACCUCGUUCUAAAAUUGGAAUGACUCUAACAGAAGAGAAGUCACCUCAAGUGUGGGGAGAGUAGGUUUUCGCAACAAUUUAUAUACAAUUCAGCAAUAUCAAAGCGGUAAAAAGUAACAUUUAGCAUAUUAGGCCCAAACAUGUAAAUAAAACCAGAUAACAAAUAAAGCCAAAUAUAACAAUUAUUCUAAGAUCGAAUUCUUGAAUCAUGAACCAGGAUUCUGGGUUGUUUUUCCCACCAGAGUUGCCAAAGCUGUCACACCUCCUUUUUCCUAUAACUGUAAGGGUAUAAGGGAGUUUUUUUCAAUUUAAAGUGACAAUAGAAAAAGGAUUUAUUUAUUUGAAGAUUUAGAGUCGCCACUUGGGAUAAUUUUAUGGUGUCCCAAGUCACCGGUUCAAAUCCCGAAUCGAGAAAAGAUUGACUCUAUUUCACAGUCCGCGAACACAAAUAUCUGGGUAAGGAAUUAUGUUAAUCCAUAAAAAUGUGUUAAGCAUUCACAAGUUCCGUGGUUCUAACAUGAUCGCUCAAGUUAUUAUUGGCCUAAUUAUCUGAUUUUAAAGCGCUUUUAAACCUAUGUGCAUAUUACUUUAGAACUGCUUUUAAUUAUUUUAAGGAAGAUUUCAACGUCAUCUAAAAUAAGUCUUUCGACCAAGCCACACGAAAUACACCCGCAGUCCGAGACACAUUUUAUUUAAUGUUGUUAAGAUUUGGAUUUGGGUCACAUGAAAUGCACACCCGAGUUUAGGAAUGUUGAUUUUAAAAUAGCACGCCUUAAGCAACUACGCAUUUUUAAGUUUGCGAGGGCCAUGGAAAUUCAACUAAAUGGAACGCCUCGAGUUUCUACAGAGUUAAAAUUAAUUAAGUGUGGGCCAUGAGUUUUGAGAAUUUAUUUGACAUGGCACACCUCAAAUUAAUUUUUAUGGAUCGUACUUAAUUCAAAGCAAACUACAAAUGUUCAUGAUCAUUUAAUAAAGUACUCUGAGAUUAUUAUAAGGCCAUAGAGCAAAACAUUUGUAAUUACUGUAGGCUACAUAGAGUACGGUGAUAGGAAAGACCUAGACCAGUUAAAGCGCAGGAAAUUAUCAAUCACCCUAUUUUUGAAGCGUGGAACAACAAUGGCGUGAAAACUACAUGUAGUUAAAUUAGAAAGAUUGCAAGUUAGUAGAAAAAGAUUUGGUGAUCAACCAGAUGAAAAAUUUGCAAAGUCUCAACCACUAAUAAGCCAAUAAGUAAACAUUUAAAUCAAGUUUUAAAAUAGUAAGGACAUGCUAAACAGUACUACAAAUUUCUGGAUAAACAUAAACAUAGUUCAAGAUGCCAAAAUUGUUUCAUGAAACAGACUACAAAGACACGAAAAACAUUCACAAUAUGCAUUCCUAGAGUCACUAUCCGGAUUAAGAGGAUGCCUUAGACUUUAGGAGCCAACUGUGUCUCAGGCUCCUUCUCGAUAUUAUUAUGAUAAUUGUUACAAUUGCACCCAUCACAGUAUAUGCCAGAUGCAAAAUAUUAACAAUACAACUUAGAUAUCGAGAGUAUUUGCAGUUAUUAGGAGUACCAUCUUGUAUCUCACUAACACCUUUAAUCAGACACCUUCAUAAAUCACGAUCAUAUGAUUCAAAUAGAUCAUGCACAAAAAUAAAGAUAUUGCACAAAAAGUAACUUGUAUAUCUAAAAAUAGCGAACAAACAUUGCAAAACCAAAAUUCAAGUAGAUCAAAUGCAAGAAGAAUCUAAACAUUGCUUGGCCAUUCAACAAAAAUGAUACAAAAGGGGAUUUAGAACUGACCUAGAUGAAGAGGAAAACACUAAAGGAUAAUCCAAGGAAGAGCAUAAUUUGAUUCAAACUGAUUUUGCACAAGUGAAAUAGAGUCCAUUUAGUGAAGAACAGCAGCACUCGACUUCGAUUCUCAGUCAGAAUAAAAAACCAAAUUGAAACUGAGAAAAUAGUGAAGAUAAUUCCUUGAAACAUCAGUAACGAAUGCACUUUUCAGAACCAUUUUAUGUGUCUUUUUUGCCGAAUCGUAAAAUUGAGAAUCUCAGAUCUCAAACUCGAACUUGACAACUUUUUAAUUUUUUUUUUGUUUUGCUUUUUAAGGCUAGUCAGCCCGUCUUUAGAGGAGAAUGUGAUGGUGAGUGUAUUCUCCCAUAGGAAUCGAAGGAGAGAGGUCGUGAGAGAGAAAAUGGAAGAUGGAAGGGAUGCUUCUUUUUACAAGAGCAUCGCUGCUGUGUUUUUUAGAGAUGAGGGUUGAGGUCUCAAAUUGUAUCCCUAAAAAA
rnacentral:lncRNA from 1 species